UAGGGAAUCUUCCGCAAUGGACGAAAGUCUGACGGAGCAACGCCGCGUGAGUGAAGAAGGAUUUCGGUUCGUAAAACUCUGUUGUUAGGGAAGAAAAAAUGUAUAGUAACUAUAUACAAAAGAGACGGUACCUAACCAGAAAGCCACGGCUAACUACGUGCCAGCAGCCGCGGUACUACGUAGGUGGCAAGCGUUGUCCGGAAUUAUUGGGCGUAAAGCGCGCGCAGGUGGUUUAGAAAAUCUGAUGUGAAAGCCCACGGCUCAACCGUGGAGGGUCAUUGGAAACUAAUAAACUUGAGUGCAGGAGAGAAAAGUGGAAUUCCUAGUGUAGCGGUGAAAUGCGUAGAGAUUAGGAGGAACACCGGUGGCGAAAGCGGAUUUUUGGCCUGCAACUGACACUGAGGCGCGAAAGCGUGGGGAGCAAACAGG
rnacentral:rRNA from 1 species